rnacentral:tmRNA from 1 species
GGGGCUGACAGGUUUCGACGUCAGUGUCGAUGUGCGAUCGUGCGACCCGAGUUGCUCAGACUCGUAAAACGGGGCAAAAAAACAACUGCCAACAAGCAGUUCGCUCUCGCCGCCUAAUUCAUUAGGGGGUAGAGAGCAACCGUGAGCCGCAAGGUCGCACG